AGACAUUCCACUUCUUCCAUCUAUUACAUCUCUGAGUCUAAAUGAAAAUGAAGAGGAGACUGGACCUUUUGUUGUACACUGGCUAAACAAUAAAGAACUGCAUUUUACUUUGUCCAUGGAAGUUUUUUUACAGCAACUUAGAAAAAGUUUUGAACAACCAUCUUCUGAAGCCAGUGUAGAAGAUUCUAAUCAGGCAGAUGUAAAAUCUGAUGAAGAAACGGAUGAUGGUGUUGAUGAUCUGAAAAUAAAUCCCGAAAAGAAGGAAUUAGGCCGUGAUAAAAUGGUACCAAACUCAAGUUUUACGUCAUUAUCGUCAGCUGCCAUUGAUCAUCAGAUUGAAGUACUUCUGUCUGAAUGGAGUAAAAAUGCAGAUAUGCUCUUUAGUAUUCAUCCCAUGGAUGGUUCUUUGCUAGUUUGGCAUGUGGAUUGGCUGGAUGAAUACCAGCCUGGUAUGUUUCGUCAAGUACAGGUACUACUAUUAUUUCUGGAGAGCUACUUCCUUGUUUAUGUGGGUACUGUUUUCUAAUACCUCUUUAUAUAAUUUUAUAUGUUCUAACACUUGCUUUCUU
rnacentral:sRNA from 1 species